rnacentral:rRNA from 1 species
UACGUAGGGUGCGAGCGUUGUCCGGAAUUAUUGGGCGUAAAGAGCUCGUAGGCGGUUUGUCGCGUCUGCCGUGAAAGUCCGGGGCUCAACUCCGGAUCUGCGGUGGGUACGGGCAGACUAGAGUGAUGUAGGGGAGACUGGAAUUCCUGGUGUAGCGGUGAAAUGCGCAGAUAUCAGGAGGAACACCGAUGGCGAAGGCAGGUCUCUGGGCCGAUAUUGACGCUGAGGAGCGAAAGCGUGGGGAGCGAACAGG